rnacentral:rRNA from 1 species
GACGAACGCUGGCGGCGUGCCUAAUACAUGCAAGUAGAAGCAAGUUGCGAACGGGUGAGUAACGCGUAGGUAACUGCCUGGUAGCGGGGGAUAACUAUUGGAAACGAUAGCUAAUACCGCAUACUACCAGAUGGACCUGCGUUGUAUUAGCUAGUAGGUGAGGUAACGGCUCACCUAGGCGACGAUACAUAGCCGACCUGAGAGGGUGAUCGGCCACACUGGGACUGAGACACGGCCCAGACUCCUACGGGAGGCAGCAGUAGGGAAUCUUCGGCAAUGGACGAAAGUCUGACCGAGCAACGCCGCGUGAGUGAAGAAGGUUUUCGGAUCGUAAAGCUCUGUUGUAAGAGAAGCGGUAUCUUACCAGAAAGGGACGGCUAACUACGUGCCAGCAGCCGCGGUAAUACGUAGGUCCCGAGCGUUGUCCGGAUUUAUUGGGCGUAAAGCGAGCGCAGGCGGUUAGAUAAGUCUGAAGUUAAAGGCUGUGGCUUAACCAUAGUACGCUUUGGAAACUGUUUAACUUGAGUGCAGAAGGGGAGAGUGGAAUUCCAUGUGUAGCGGUGAAAUGCGUAGAUAUAUGGAGGAACACCGGUGGCGAAAGCGGCUCUCUGGUCUGUAACUGACGCUGAGGCUCGAAAGCGUGGGGAGCGAACAGGAUUAGAUACCCUGGUAGUCCACGCCGUAAACGAUGAGUGCUAGGUGUUAGUAGUGCCGCAGCUAACGCAUUAAGCACUCCGCCUGGGGAGUACGACCGCAAGGUUGCAACUCAAAUGAAUUGACGGA